GACAGAGGGGGCAAGCGUUGCUCGGAAUCACUGGGCUUAAAGCGUGUGUAGGCGGACGCCUAAGUGUCUUGUGAAAUCCCACGGCUCACCCGUGGAACUGCUGGGCAUACUGGGCGUCUUGGGCCAACUAGGGGCAGCCGGAACAAGCGGUGGAGCGGUGAAAUGCGUAGAUAUCGCUUGGAACGCCGAAGGUGAAAACAGGCUGCUGGGGUUGUGCCGACGCUGAGACACGAAAGCCAGGGGAGCAAACGGG
rnacentral:rRNA from 1 species